GUCUACAGCCAUGCCACCCUGAACGUCCCCGAUCUCAUCUGAUCUUGGAAGCUAAGCAGGGUUGGCCUGGUUAGUACUUGGAUGGGAGACCACCUAGGAAGACCAGGUGCCGUAGGUG
rnacentral:rRNA from 1 species